AGAAGCUAUGCAAUUAAAACAAAACAACCAGAACAAAGAACAGAGGAAAACAACCAAACCACCCAAAACAUGGCUGUUUUGAAUUAUUAAGGCAAUGGAGAUGAAGACUCACUCCUAGGAUGUUGUGUCAGUUGUCCUUUCUACCUUUAGUGCAUCGGCGAGGAAAGCGGGUAAAAGCAGCUUCAGGGAGCAGAGGCAGCAAGAAGGAAGGUAAACAAUAAAGACACAGAAGCAAGAUGGCAGUGGUGGACGUGAAGAGAGAAGCCAUUGGUAUAGAGGAGCAUCAGAAAGCCUUUCCUGCCUGUGGAGUACAGAAGACAGUAGUGCCGUCCAGCUGAUGAUGUUCAGGCCCAGCAACGGCAUACCACACGGCACUUGCCUCCUUCCAAAUGGUUGUAUGCCCACUCAUCAACAGGAUUUUUUAUUAAAUCAUAUCAGGACUCUGAGGGCAGAAAUGGAUACAAGGAAUUAUUCAUCACCUUUGAUCACCAAUCCAUCUUAUUAAGAAAGCCCACAGGGCCUUGUGUUUGGAUGAGGGGUCCACGCUUAGAACACAUGGGACCAAAUCCAUUCAGUGACUCUGACCAGGAGCAGAAAAUGGAAAUGUUGAAGUGACAGCAGCCAUGACCACUCCCUGCUGGGCUGCACUCAGGAUAACUGUUGCUGAAGAUGAAGUGGAGGUCUCUGCAUUCUGUCCACAUUCUCCUAAGACGGAGAGUAGGUGCUAGCUCUGGGCUUCACUGGUCACACAGAUGGCCCUGGUGAAGCUGGAUGGGUCACAGAAGGGAUGGGUGUUGUGACAAGAGGCAAAGGUUAGUGGGGUUUGGAGAGAGAUAAGGGACGCUACAGGAGUAAAGUAAUCAGAAUGCAUUGUACACAUGCGUGGAGUUGCCAAAGAACAAACCUCA